UGGGAUGUCGCCAAGUGGUAAGGCACUGGGUUUUGGUCCCAGCAUUCGGGGGUUCGAAUCCCUCCAUCCCAACCA
rnacentral:tRNA from 1 species